rnacentral:rRNA from 1 species
GACGAACGCUGGCGGCGUGCCUAAUACAUGCAAGUCGAACGCACAGUUUAUACCGUAGCUUGCUACACCAUAGACUGUGAGUUGCGAACGACUGAGUAACGCGUCGGUAACCUGCCUGGUAGCGGGGGAUAACUAUUGGAAACGAUAGCUAAUACCUCCUAAUAUUGAUUAUUGCAUGAUAAUUAAUUGAAGGGUGCAAUUGCACCACUACCAGAUGGACCUGCGUUGUAUUAGCUAGUAGGUGAGGUAACGGCUCACCUAGGCGAGGAUACAUAGCCGACCUGAGAGGGUGAUCGGCCACACUGGGAGUGAGACACGGCCCAGAGGGCUACGGGAGGCAGCAGGAGGGAAUCGGCGGGAAGGGGCGAAAGUCUGACCGAGCAGGGCGGAGUGAGUGAAGAAGGUUGUCGGAUGGGAAAGGUCUGUUGUAAGAGAAGAACGGGUGUGAGAGUGGAAAGUUCACACUGUGACGGUAACUGACCAGAAAGGGACGGCUAACUACGUG